rnacentral:rRNA from 1 species
AUUGAACGCUGGCGGCAGGCUUAACACAUGCAAGUCGAGCGGAGAUGAGGUGCUUGCACCUUAUCUUAGCGGCGGACGGGUGAGUAAUGCUUAGGAAUCUGCCUAUUAGUGGGGGACAACAUUCCGAAAGGAAUGCUAAUACCGCAUACGCGCUACGGGGGAAAGCAGGGGAUCUUCGGACCUUGCGCUAAUAGAUGAGCCGAAGUCGGAUUAGCUAGGUGGUGGGGUAAAGGCCGACCAAGGCGACGAUCUGUAGCGGGUCUGAGAGGAUGAUCAGGCACACUGGGACUGAGACACGGCCCAGACUCCUACGGGAGGCAGCAGUGGGGAAUAUUGGACAAUGGGCGGAAGCCUGAUCCAGCCAUGCCGCGUGUGUGAAGAAGGCCUGUUGGUUGUAAAGCACUUUAAGCGAGGAGGAGGCUACCUGGAUUAAUACUCUAGGAUAGUGGACGUUACUCGCAGAAUAAGCACCGGCUAACUCUGUGCCAGCCGCCGCAGUAACAC